GUGCGCGUGCGCAGUGUGUUUUCUCUGUAAUUCUGGGCCGUGUUCCGGAAGCCUCGUAAGACAAAAGCGAACGAGAGGCGGAAAAAAGGAAGACGCUUCCUGAAGUUGGGGAUGCUGGACUAGUUUUCAUACUAGAUCCCCUCGUGGCAGCAUUAAGGAACUUCACAUUCUUCUCACACUAUUCAUGGAAAGUUCCUGGAACUCCCACAGCAGCAAGAAAACUUCGCUUGUAGGAGUCCUUAGCACAUCUGUAAAGUUUUAUUGGCCAAAAUGUGAUACAUCUCCAUUUCUGGAUCAGUCACUGUGGUCAAGUGCAAGACGCUCUACAGGACUCAACCUGGGGAUGAGGUCUGUCUACUCCAUCCAUAUGGUCACUUUAUACUGAGGUUGGUUAACAGGACUUGAGAAGAUCACCAGGUCAACCUUGGAAAUCAUGCGUUGAAGGUGGUAAAUACUACAGCCUUCCUGGACUAUGAUAAAGGAACCUGCUCCAGCUGUGAG
rnacentral:lncRNA from 1 species